rnacentral:rRNA from 1 species
UACAGGGGGUGCAAACGUUGCUCGGAAUCAUUGGGCGUAAAGCGCACGUAGGCGGUUCGUUAUGUCGGAUGUGAAAGCCCUUGGCUUAACCGAGGAAGUGCAUCCGAAACUGGCGAGCUAGAGUACGAAAGAGGAUCGCGGAAUUCCCGGUGUAGAGGUGAAAUGCGCAGAUAUCAGGAGGAACACCAAUUGCGAAGGCAGCUCGCUGGGACGUUACUGACGCUGAUGCGCGAAAGCGUGGGGAGCAAACAGG